rnacentral:ncRNA from 1 species
GGCAGAAGCAAAUAUUCAGAUGAGAAUUUCAAAGGCUAAAGAUGAGAAAGGUUCCAGGUGCUCAGCAAUUGAACAGGGUGUUUUGACCCUGGGAUAGGUGAGGCUCAUUCCCAAGGGACAGGUGACAGCCUCUACUGUCCUUAGAAAGGGAGCCUGGUCCAGAUUAUCUGAGGCAGGGGAUGAGACCUGCCCAGUAGAGUAACCCAAGCGAUCCUGGAGAAGCUGUGCAGAGCCAAGUUCUCUUUUCAUUAUGAAGGACAGGUUGCGCUGGAAUGGGCUUGCCCUGUGCCUGAGCCUUGGAAAGUGGUGUGGUUCUGGUGGUAUCUGGCAAAUUCUUCCCAGUCCUUAAAAAUCAGUUGGAGAUGGUGUAAAACUCUCCCUGAUCUAUGCCUAUAUCUGCAGCAGGUCUCCACCAGAACAGACCUGCC